GCGGUGCGCCUUAUGCAUGCAAGUCGAGCGAAGCUUUUCAGUAGUUUACUACAGAAAAUGACUGAGCGGCGAACGGGUGAGUAACGCGUGAGCAACCUACCUUAGUUACUGGGAUAGCCCGAGGAAACUCGGAUUAAUACCGGAUAUUCUUAUUUAAUCACAUGAUUUUUUAAGGAAAGGUCAGCCGAACUAAGAUGGGCUCGCGUUCUAUCAGCUAGUUGGUAGGGUAAUGGCCUACCAAAGCUACGACGGAUAGCUGGUCUGAGAGGACGAUCAGCCACACUGGGACUGAGACACGGCCCAGACUCCUACGGGAGGCUGCAGCAGGGAAUAUUGCGCAAUGAGCGAAAGCUUGACGCAGCGACACCGCGUGUGGGAUGACGGAUCUAGGUUUGUAAACCACUUUCAGGAGGGAAGAAAAUGACGGUACCUCCACAA
rnacentral:rRNA from 1 species